rnacentral:rRNA from 1 species
UACAAGGAUUCCCCUAGUAACGGCGAGUGAAGCGGGAAAAGCUCAAAUUUGAAAUCUGGCGGUCUACGGCCGUCCGAGUUGUAGUCUAGAGAGGUGUCUUCCGYGCCGGACCGUGUACAAGUCCCUUGGGAUAGGGCGUCAUAGAGGGUGAGAAUCCCGUCCAUGACACGGACUGCCGGUGCUCUGUGAUGCGCCUUCAAAGAGUCGAGUUGUUUGGGAAUGCAGCUCAAAAUGGGUGGUAAAUUCCAUCUAAAGCUAAAUACAGGCGAGAGACCGAUAGCGAACAAGUACCGUGAGGGAAAGAUGAAAAGCACUUUGGAAAGAGAGUUAAACAGUACGUGAAAUUGUUGAAAGGGAAACGCUUGGAGUCAGUCGCGUCCGCCGGGACUCAGCCGGGCUUUUGCUUGGUGCACUUCUCGGUGGAUGGGCCAGCAUCGAUUUUGGUUGCCGGACAAGGGCAAGGGGAAUGUGGCACCUUCGGGUGUGUUAUAGCCCCUUGUNGUAUACGGUGGCUGGGAUCGAGGUUUGCAGCACGCCUUAGCGGCCGGGGUUCGCCCACGCCACGUGCUUAGGAUGCUGGCGUAAUGGCUUUAAACGACCCGUCUUGAAACACGGACCAAGGAGUCUAACAUGCUCGCGAGUGUUCGGGUGGAAAACCCGUCCGCGUAAUGAAAGUGAUAAGUUGGGACCCUUCGCUGGGGCACCGACGCCCGAUCCAGACCUUCUGUGACGGAUUUGAGGUAGAGCGCGUAUGUUGGGACCCGAAAGAUGGUGAACUAUGCCUGAAUAGGGCGAAGCCAGAGGAAACUCUGGUGGAGGCUCGUAGCGAUUCUGACGUGCAAUCGAUCGUCAAUUUGGGUAUAGGGGCGAAAGACUAAUCGAACCAUCUAGUAGCUGGUUCCUGCGAAGUUUU